CAAGUGACGUCAUCCGGAGCGCCGGAAUGUUAGACAGGACACGAGACAAUUCGGGAGGUUAUCGAAUGUUUGCAAGUGAACGAGGAUUGAGAACAAUUUAGAAAAAAAAAUCCCAUCUCUGAAACACAGAGGGACCAGUUUGCCUUGGGUGACCCUACCAGGGGCAUAAAGCCCCGGACAACAGAGCUCCGAGGAUCAUUGGGACACGCAAACCCCUCCACCACGAUAAGGUGGCGGUUAAAGGAGGGAUAGAAAAAGCUGCUGCUAUGAUUACAAACGAAUGUUUAAAAGGAGACGUGUGAGGUUGCCAUAAAUUCCAGAAAAGUAAUGGCUGUAAGUAUUAAGAAGGAGGAGUGUGAGUGGGAGUCCAUCCACCCUCAACAGGAGAGUCUCUGCAUUAAGGAGGAGGAGGAGGAGCAGGACUGUGAGACAGGGUUAGUGAGCAUUAAAGAAGAGGCUGAAGAGACAUCUGUCAGCAUCGAGACACACAUUUGUAAAAGUGUGCAGAAUGUCA